rnacentral:rRNA from 1 species
AAAACCAAUGCCCUUCGGGGCUCACUGGUGAUUCAUAAUAACUUCUCGAAUCGCACGGCCUUGCGCCGGCGAUGGUUCAUUCAAAUUUCUGCCCUAUCAACUUUCGACGGCCGGGUCUUGGCCAGCCGUGGUGACAACGGGUAACGGAGGAUUAGAGUUCGAUCCCGGAGAAGGAGCCUGAGAAACGGCUACUACAUCCAAGGAAGGCAGCAGGCGCGCAAAUUACCCAAUCCCGACUCGGGGAGGUAGUGACAAUAAAUACUGAUACAGGGCUCUUUUGGGUCUUGUAAUUGGAAUGAGUACAAUUUAAAUCCCUUAACGAGGAACAAUUGGAGGGCAAGUCUGGUGCCAGCAGCCGCGGUAAUUCCAGCUCCAAUAGCGUAUAUUAAGUUGUUGAGGUUAAAAAGCUCGUAGUUGAACCUUGGGCCCAGCCGGCCGGUCCGCCUCACCGCGUGCACUGGCUCGGCCGGGCCUUUCCUUCUGGAGAACCCGGUGCCCUUUAUUGGGUGUCGUGGGGAACCAGGACUUUUAC